GGCGACCGGCGCACGGUGAGUAACACGUAUCCAACCUGCCGAUAACUCGGGGAUAGCCUUUCGAAAGAAAGAUUAAUACCCGAUGGCAUAAUUAGACCGCAUGGUCUUAUUAUUAAAGAAUUUCGGUUAUCGAUGGGGAUGCGUUCCAUUAGGCAGUUGGUGAGGUAACGGCUCACCAAACCUUCGAUGGAUAGGGGUUCUGAGAGGAAGGUCCCCCACAUUGGAACUGAGACACGGUCCAA
rnacentral:rRNA from 1 species